GAGAUAGCUCAGUUGGUUAGAGUGUGGUGCUGAUAACGCCAAGGUUGCAGGUUUGAUCUCCAUAUAAUCA